GAGUUUGAUCUUGGCUCAGAUUGAACGCUGGCGGCGUGCCUAACACAUGCAAGUCGAGCGGUAACAGGUGUAGCAAUACAUGCUGACGAGCGGCGGACGGGUGAGUAAUGCUUGGGAAUCUUCCCGGUAGUGGGGAAUAACCAACCGAAAGGUUGGCUAAUACCGCAUACGUUCUACGGAAGAAAGCGGGGGACCGUAAGGCCUCGCGCUGUCGGAUGAGCCCAAGUCGGAUUAGCUAGUUGGCGGGGUAACGGCCCACCAAGGCGACGAUCCGUAGCUGGUCUGAGAGGACGACCAGCCACACCGGAACUGAGACACGGUCCGGACUCCUACGGGAGGCAGCAGUGGGGAAUAUUGGACAAUGGGGGAAACCCUGAUCCAGCGACGCCGCGUGUGUGAAGAAGGCCUGCGGGUUGUAAAGCACUUUUAGUGGGGAUGAAAAGUUCGGGGCUAAAAUCUCCGGAUCUUGACCUAACCCACAGAAAAAGCACCGGCUAACUCUGUGCCAGCAGCCGCGGUAAG
rnacentral:rRNA from 1 species